UUGCAUGUUGUUUGGCUCACAGUUGUUUGACUUGCACACAUCAGCAUUGACCAUGCCACUUCAUUAAAUGAAACGGUGCGUUUUGCACCUUGGCGCGCCGAACAUUCAAAUGCAUACUGAAUUCGAUUCCUGGCCAAUGCAUAAUUUCAAAUGCUUCACAUUUUAUUCCAUUUUCCCUCCACAUUUCAUACUAUAUGCUUCACAUGUUUU
rnacentral:lncRNA from 1 species